AUGAUGCAUUUUAUUUAAUACCACAAGGUGGCAUUACAUCCUUAUUUUUUUGGUGAACUUUUUCACAGUUACCUCAACAAAUCCUUUUUCUCUUGGACUAUAAAUUGAAAAACUACGUGACCAACGUGUUCGCGAUCCAGGAUGCUCUCGUCGUGUGGAUCAUUCUGGAAAUACUCCCACUGAGAGCUGGUUAAACAUCCCGAUGAAGAUUAUAGGAAUUCCAUCUAAAUCUGGUGGGGGACGUGACUCUGCAACCUACUGGUUCUCUGCAGCCGUUUAGGUGAAUUGUGGAUGUUGUGCCGAACUCUGCUUUGGUUGAAGUGCAUGCAGGAGGUCAUUAACCCUGGAAAGAAGGAACGGUCCGGGUAUCACGAUGGAGCUGCCUGCAGAGCCUUUCUGUGACUGUCGUACAAGUGACAGUGCAAGGCGGGGCUGCCAGAGGAAGCCGGAAUACCUAGCGUCAAGCUGCACGAACACGGAUGCAACAUCUACACUCAAAGCGGGAUCGAAAUUCAGGCCACCACCCACGGAGGUGUGAGGGUGAAUCUUUAAAUAAUUUUGUGUUUUUCUUAUAAGCUUCCUUGUGGUUUUUCAUAAGCAGGAGAA